CAGCACAGAGAAGGACCUGAAUUCCUUCUGUGAUGGUAUCAUCUGGGUUCCCUCGGCAGGCGCCUGCCUCCUGCUCCUCAUUGCCCUGGCCAUCACCAUCCUGCAGUGCCCAAAAACCAGAAGACGAAGGUGGAGGCGUAAAAGGCCUGUGCAGGGGAAGCCCCACACC